CAACUUUCAACAACGGAUCUCUUGGUUCUGGCAUCGAUGAAGAACGCAGCGAAAUGCUGAUAAGUAGUGUGCAAUUGCAGAAUUCAGUGAAUCAUCGAAUCUUUGGAACGCACAUUGCGCCCCUUGGUAUUCCAUGGGGCAUGCCUGUUCGAGCGUGCAUUU
rnacentral:rRNA from 1 species